rnacentral:rRNA from 1 species
UGAGGAAUAUUGCACAAUGGGCGCAAGCCUGAUGCAGCGACGCCGCGUGUGGGAUGAAGGGGCUACGCCUCGUAAACCACUGUAGCCCGGGACGAAAAACGCCUUAGAGGCGUUAGACGGUACCGGGAAAGUAAGGGUCGGCUAACUACGUGCCAGCAGCCGCGGUAAUACGUAGGACCCAAGCGUUGUCCGGAUUUACUGGGUGUAAAGGGUGCGCAGGCGGAUGGGUAAGUCAGGGGUGAAAGUCUGCAGCUUAACUGUAGAAUUGCCUUUGAUACUGCUCAUCUUGAGUGUGGGAGAGGUUGAUGGAAUUCCAGGUGUAGCAGUGAAAUGCGUAGAUAUGGGGAGGAACACCACUGGCGAAGGCGGCUUUCUGGACGGUGUCUGACACUGAGGCGCGAAAGCCAGGGGAGCGAACG